rnacentral:ncRNA from 2 species
AGUGUCUCGCCCGUCAGCGGUUCGCCGCUCCCUCCCGAGGGGGCGGCGAGGCAAGAGGGAACCCGGUGCGAAUCCGGGACUGCCCCGCAGCGGUGAGUGGAAACGACCGCCGUCACACAGCACUGGGCCCGUUCCGGGCCUGGGAAGCGACGGCCAGUAGGUCCGGUGGGAACACCGGGUGUCCACGAGUCCGAAGACCUGCCGCCGACGCGCGCGCCGA